GAGAAGCGAAAUGGCGUUUGACGUGUAACAACUUGCACGUUUGUGUUUGGUGUGCACAGAGCUGGAGAAUCUUGAUGACAACAUUACUCAUAAAGACAUAAUUAGUUAUCUUGACAUUGCUUAAUUGUAAAGAUGUGUGAUAAAGUUCGUCCUAGGAGUGUAAAGUUAGGAUGAACUGCUGAGCAUAAGUUGCUGUGUUGGAGCAGAAUCUGUGAUCAGUCUUACCGAGAAUCCCAACAUUUGAAGACUUUAAAGCAUUUCUGACAGAAAAUUGAGCCGUCUUUAUAAUGAUGAAACGGAUGGAGGUGGUUAAAUGGUACUCACCAUUCCUGAGGGUCAGACUAAUGGUCAGCAGACGUCAUUCACAGUUUUCAAGUUUGAAUUCCAUGCCGCGGCCUGUCCAGGCGAUGAAGUGGGCAUUGCCUGGGUCAUCCAGAAGGGCCACCAGGAACUGCCAGAGCUG